GUGGGCCUACGGGACGCAGCAGUAGGGAAUCUUCCACAAUGGACGAAAGUCUGAUGGAGCAACGCCGCGUGAGUGAAGAAGGGUUUCGGCUCGUAAAGCUCUGUUGGGAGUGGAGAAAGAUAGAGGUAGUAACUGGCCUUUAUUUGACGGUAAUUACUUAGAAAGUUACGGCUAACUACGUGCCAGCAGCCGCGGUAAUACGUAGGUGGCAAGCGUUGUCCGGAUUUAUUGGG
rnacentral:rRNA from 1 species